CUGCUCGCCCAGGUGGGGGUGGCGCGGCGACUGGCGAGGGUCGUGGCUCGGAAGCGAAGCUCUUGGAGACGCUAGGGCCCACAGGUGCCCCUGCUUACAAGUAACCGCAACCAGGUACUCAACAUUUUUUUUUCCAAGACGGAGUUACUGAAUGAACAGUAAAGGGAGCUCACUGAUUCCGAACUGACAGCGGCAGAACCAGCAUAGGACCAAACUAGGCCCUAUGAAUGAUGGAUGGUGGCAUUUCCCAUCUCAGCAGAUGUGAUGGUGCAGUUACUCCUGGAACAUAUCCCCAGUUUGGCAUGCCAUGCCCCCCCCCCCACAAGCUCCUGGGACAUCAGCGCUGGUACCACAUCUCCAGUGGGCACCUACCCGGGAUAAAUGGUCUGUCCAAUAACUGGGACCCUCUACCUUCCGAUUUCUCAAAAUGUCCCAAUGAAGAGCAUAUCUGCUCUUGUGUCUUGCUCAUUCAUCUUUGUCAUUCAACCUUGCCUCUUAUGUACAACCAGGGCAUGUCUCCGCUUCAUUCUUACCGGCAAUCUCCACUCUUCCCAUGGCUAGCCUCAUUCCUAGGGCUGUGAUAAUAACCCCCCUUUUUUUUCUUCUCCUAGCAACUUGCCUUCUCUGCUUCCUCAAGAAACAGAUUCCUGAGGUCUCCAGGAUGGCAGUUAACUGAAUGCUUCUUCACUCUUACCUCUGGCUGAGCGUGAGUCCACUGACUUCCGCCUCCCCGUCACCAUGUUGUCCUACACCAACAGGAAGUAACAAGACUUGAACCAUCACCUAUUUAUCCAAGAAGGUCGGGAUGCUAUGCUGGAAACUCUAGCCUGGCUCUGCUCCUCCCUCUCCAGACCCUGCCCCCUCAGAAAGACUGCCUAAAUUCCAGCUCCUCCCCUGAAGCUCAAGACCUCACCUACAGGGGAGUUAAGACCUGGUCCUGGGACCUGCACUGUGAUUUCUCCUCUGCUCACUUUCCCGACAGUCACUGGGAUUGCUUUGCUCAGAUUAAACCUGGUCUUUUAACUUG